AACGAACGCUGGCGGCGUGGAUAAGACAUGCAAGUCGAGCGGGAACUUUCGCUGUAGCAAUACAGUGAAAGUUCUAGCGGCGAACGGGUGCGUAACACGUGGACAAUCUGCCUUAAAGUGGGGGAUAGCUCGGCGAAAGCCGAAUUAAUACCGCAUGUGAUGAGAGACGACAUCGUCUUGAAAUCAAAGCCGGGGCAACCUGGCGCUUUUUGAGGAGUCCGCGGCCAUCAGCUUGUUGGUGAGGUAACGGCUCACCAAGGCUAUGACGGGUAGCUGGUCUGAGAGGACGACCAGUCACACUGGGAACUGAGACACGGUCCAGACACCUACGGGU
rnacentral:rRNA from 1 species